GAUGAACGCUGGCGGCGUGCCUAAUACAUGCAAGUCGAGCGAACAGACGAGGAGCUUGCUCCUCUGACGUUAGCGGCGGACGGGUGAGUAACACGUGGAUAACCUACCUAUAAGACUGGGAUAACUUCGGGAAACCGGAGCUAAUACCGGAUAAUAUAUUGAACCGCAUGGUUCAAUAGUGAAAGACGGUUUUGCUGUCACUUAUAGAUGGAUCCGCGCCGCAUUAGCUAGUUGGUAAGGUAACGGCUUACCAAGGCAACGAUGCGUAGCCGACCUGAGAGGGUGAUCGGCCACACUGGAACUUAGAAACGGUCCAGACUACUAAGGGAGGCAGCAGUAGGGAAUCUUACGCAAUGGGCGAAAGCCUGACGGAGCAACGCCGCGUGAGUGAUGAAGGUCUUCGGAUCGUAAAACUCUGUUAUUAGGGAAGAACAAAUGUGUAAGUAACUAUGCACGUCUUGACGGUACCUAAUCAGAAAGCCACGGCUAACUACGUG
rnacentral:rRNA from 1 species